GGGUUGUGAGGUUAAGCGACUAAGCGUACACGGUGGAUGCCCUGGCAGUCAGAGGCGAUGAAGGACGUGCUAAUCUGCGAUAAGCGUCGGUAAGGUGAUAUGAACCGUUAUAACCGGCGAUUUCCGAAUGGGGAAACCCAGUGUGAUUCGUCACACUAUCAUUAACUGAAUUCAUAGGUUAAUGAGGCGAACCGGGGGA
rnacentral:rRNA from 1 species